AGAUGUGGGUGUGGCCAGCACAUGAUCAAUCCGGCCAGCGAGCUGUGAAUUUGAUAGCCCUGGACUAAAGGAUCUCCAAGAGAGUACAAUCUUUAUUUUUAUCAGACUCCUGGGAUGUGACCUUCGAUGGAGAUUCUCAGGAUACAAGGGCAGCAUAAACAAUGACAGAAGAGCCUUUUCCUUCUUCUGCUGGUCCAGCUACAUACGAUGCAUGUGGAUGAGAUGACUCUCCAAAGUCAAUUGCGGAAAUCUCUAGGAGAAUAGUAUCUCCUAUAAAUACGCACUAGUGCUCCUCAUGUUAUGAUUAAUGCCACUAACA